rfam:Camelus ferus unplaced genomic scaffold scaffold535, whole genome shotgun sequence.
GGAGGGUACAGCUCAGUGGAAGAGCACAUGCUUAGCGUGUACAAGGUCCUGGGUUCAAUCCCCAGCACCUCCA